CUUAAAUUAUAGUAGAGCUUGUCUUUUAUAAGGAAAACUUCUCAUAACAAAACUAGAAGAUUGAAGCAUGGUUGUCACUAAAUGUUUGGAACUCUGCUGCAGAUAAAGACUUUGCAGUGUACUUAGAAUACAAAGCUUUCUGGGCCAGAAAUUGAUCUGACUUUUGAGCCUUAUCUGAUUACUGCUUGAUUCCUCUUUAUUUUGCUCAAGUGCUCAGCAGGUUGAACGGGGAGCCUUCCUCCCCAUUGUUAGCAGAGCUUGACCAGACAGGAAGUCUGGCAGCUGCUCCAGCAGAACUAUGGCACUGAGCUAGGCUUAAAUGCUGAAGAGAUGGAGAACUUGUCCCUGUCGAUUGAGGAUAAUGUGCAGCCAAGAAGUCCAAGAAGAAGCAGCUUGGAUGGCUGUGGGGAGAGAGAUGAGAAAUUAUCCAAGCCGAUCAGUUUUACCCGUGAAUCAAUUAGUCAGGUUUCAGAAACAGAGCCAAUUGAUGGAAAUCCACAAAAAGGGGGGUUAGGGAAAGAGGAACCCCAAAGUGAGAAACAGAUCAAAAGUCCUUCACUAACUUCAGAAAAGAGGUUAAGUAGACUGUCAUCAAAAUCACUGGACUUGAAUAAAAAUGAAUAUCUUUCUUUGGACAAAAGCAGUACUUCAGAUUCUGUUGAUGAAGAAAAUAUUCCUGAGAAAGAUCUUCAUGGAAGACUUUAUAUCAACCGUGUUUUUCAUAUCAGUGCUGAGAGAAUGUUUGAAUUGCUGUUCACCAGUUCACGCUUUAUGCAGAUAUUUGCCAGUUCUAGAAAUAUAAUAGAUAUAGUAUCUACCCCUUGGAAUGUAGAGCCUGGAGGUGACCAACUGAGAACCAUGACCUACACUAUAGUCCUUAAUAAUCCACUAACUGGAAAGUGCACCACGGCCACUGAAAAGCAGAGGCUGUAUAAAGAAAGUCGGGAAGCACAGUUUUACUUGGUAGAUUCAGAAGUGCUGGCACACGAUGUCCCCUACCAUGAUUACUUCUAUACUCUGAACAGAUACUAUAUCAUCCGAUCUUCAAAGCAGAAAUGCCGGUUGAGAGUUUCAACAGAUUUGAAAUACAGAAAACAACCAUGGGCCAUUGUCAAAUCUUUAAUUGAGAAGAAUUCCUGGAGUUCCUUGGCGGACUAUUUCAAACAGCUUGAAUCAGAUUUGUUAAUGGAAGAAUCUAUGGUAAAUCAGCCCAUUGAAGAGCCUGGAAAACUGAGUGGCCUACGAAGGAGAAGGCGAACAGUCAACAGAACAGCAGAAACAGCUCCUAAACUUUCUUCUCAGCGUUCUUCUGGAGACCUGGGCUUAGAUGCCAAAGGGGAUAUUACAGGAAAGAAAAAGGAAAUUGAAAGCUAUAACACCAUCCUUAUUGUGGUGAUGAGUAUUUUUUUGCUGUUGCUGGUUUUAUUGAAUGUGACGCUGUUUCUGAAGCUGUCAAAGAUAGAGUACGCGGCUCAGUCCUUUUACCGUCUUCACCUCCAGGAAGAGAAAUCUGUUAAUUUAGCCUCUGAUAUGGUGUCAAGAGCAGAAAAUAUUCAAAAGAGCAAAGAUCAGGCCCAUCGCUUAAAAGGAGUGCUCCGGGACUCCAUCGUGAUGCUGGAACAGUUCUGAGUCUCUCACUAGUCUGUAAGCUCCAUGAAGGCAGGGACAGUGCCUAUUUGGUUCACCAUUGUAUACCCAGUACUUAGCACAGUGCCCAGCAUUUAACAGUUGAAGAGCUCACUCAUUAUGCUUCAGAGAACCUUUGAUCUACUAAAUAAGAACAAGACAGGCAUGGCUGUCCAAAGCUAGUGAUCUUAAGGACCAAAAUUAUAGAGAUAUGUGGAACCAAAAGAAAACGUCUUGAAGAAAACUAGAGGGUGAAGGAUUUGAAUUGUCAUAGGAACAUUUCCAUAUUUUCUCAUUAUUUGUACUUCUAAAAUUAACAUUCUUUUGAAUAACAUUUAUUGGAGAAUUAGUCUCUGACGGCCUUAGGAAUCCAUCCUUUCAUUUCUUAUACAUAAUUCUAAGCUGUGAAUUUCUCCAGUGAAGCAUGAAAUAUAUUGUGGAUUUGAAUUUCUGUGAUACAAAAAGAAAAUGAGACAUUCUGAACUGAGUGGUAUGGCCUCAUUUUCACAGUGAAGUUUGAAGUUUGACACUUUAUCUGUUAGUACAGAAUCAGUAUGUGUCCAAUAGGCUGCUUUCACAGUUGAGAUACAUUCAAGAGGAUAAAGAAGACAAUAUAAGAAGAAAUCUCUAAAUCAUUACUAACUUUGAAGGAUCAGUUUUCAGGCAUCUAUUAUAACAUUUAUAGAUUCUUGUACUAUAAAUAUUAUCAAUACAACGUCUUCAUUUAUUUAGCGUGUAAAUUCAGUAGUCAAACCUUUUGAAUCUGCAUGUUGAUGAUGAUUAUCUGAAAGGUUCUUCAGCCAUGUGGUAUCUUUAUGAAAGAAAUAGGUGUUUCUUCAGGUGGCUCUCAGAGGUGAGAUUAUCUUGCUCUUCAUACAUUAUAUGGCAGAAGAGUCAAUUUUGGAAAAGGAAACAUGUAGGAUACCAUCUCUCAAAACGAAGAACCAUGCUCUGAGUUUUAAAAACUAGAAGAUUAUGUUAAAAUCUGGGCAUGUUAGUGACAGAUCAAAUGAAUACUUGAACUAAGCUUGGCUUCAGCUUAGCAGACUUUCAUGGUGGAAAUGAGCCAUCUGGUUGAAAAUAUUAUAAUUUGUGGACUACUUUUCAGUAGCCACGUAUGGCUUCAUUUACUCAUUCACAUGUGUGGCUUUAGUCAGUCAGUUGUAAGCCAGACACAAACUUUAGCUCUUUAAGAAAGACUUUGGGGGGCAUUUUCUCCCAAUAUAAGUGCACUGACAAGUUGUAAAUCAGACAUGAGCUUUGGCUCUUCAUUAAAAGUUUUUAGGCGUAUGUGUCUCAAUACAAGUGAUGUCUGUGGAACAGGAGAAGGACAGUGCAGAAUAAUUUGUAUAUAUUCUUACUGCUUGAAUAACAAUUGCCUUUAGUUAGAUGUCUCUUUUUUGCCCAGUCACCCAAGCCACAUAGGAUUGCUAAAGUCAUUUUCGAGAUGCCCAUAGAGAAUGAAAUUAUUGACUGGAUUAGAGGAAAAACGGGUUUCUCUGGGCGAAUCUCAACUAACCUACCUUGGGAUACCAGUGUACCUACCUGGAGGUUUUUUGAUAAGGAUUUAUGAUGUGUCUGACUGAGCAAAAGUGACUGGAUUGUAAACUUGAAACCUUGUUCUCUGUUAAUUUCACAAAAAUGGUCACUGACAAGCUGAGUAUUUUUGUGAUAUUUCUUUAAAACCUGUACUUCAUAAAAUACCUCAAAGAAAGUUACCAAAGUUAAGUUGCUUUGUAAAUUACAACUAAAUAUGUAUGCAUUCAAUUAAUUGUAUUUGAGCCUAUGUAAAUCGAAUAUCAAU